ACCCGCUGAACUUAAGCAUAUUAAUAAGCGGAGGAAAAGAAACUAACAAGGAUUCCCCUAGUAACGGCGAGUGAAGCGGGAACAGCUCAAAUUUGAAAUCUUGCAGGGGGCCACCUGCACGAAUUGUAGUUUAGAGAAGCGUUUUCGAGGGCAACUUGGGUAUAAGUCCUUUGGAAUGAGGCAUCAUAGAGGGUGAGAAUCCCGUUUAUGAUCCAAAGUUUGCUCCUGUGUGAUACGCUUUCCAAGAGUCAGGUAGUUCGGGAUUGCUGCCUAAAAUGGGUGGUAAAUACCAUCUAAAGCUAAACAUUGGCGAGAGACCGAUAGCGAACAAGUACCGUGAGGGAAAGAUGAAAAGAACUUUGAAAAGAGAGUUAAACAGUACGUGAAAUUGCCAAAAGGGAAACGCUUGGCGCCAGUAUUGUCUGCAGGCACUCAGCCACACAGCCCGAAAGGGUGAGUGUGGUGCAUUUGUCUGCAUCGGCAGGUCAACAUCAGUUUGUUCCGGAGUAAAAAGCCAGCUACCGCUCGGGCCUUGGUCUGGGUGAUUGUGGGCCUGGCCAUGCUCUGGAACGGACUGAGGACUGCAGCAUUACUUGGGUACCCGGCCGCCUUCUGUACUCUGUCCUCAGACAGCAUGCUGACUGGAGAUAGGGAUAGGAAGCUCGGCUGGCUUGCCACACCAAUGCUUAGGAUGUUGACGAAAUGGCUCC
rnacentral:rRNA from 1 species